GUGCUUGAUUCAGCAGCACAUAUAUUAGAAUUGAAACGAUAUGGAGAAGAUUAGCAUGGUCCUUGUGCAAGGAUGACGCACAAAUUCGUGAAACACUCCAUAUUUUU
rnacentral:snRNA from 1 species